UCCUGCUGCGAUCAACUUGGAAUUACCCCCAAUAACCUUUGGCUGUGGCAGGGAAAUUGGCUGAGUAAGGCUUAUGUAAUACCCUUGUAUACAUGAGAAGUUGGAGAGGAAGUUCUUUAUGUCUUGCUAUGUUCUCAUUAUAAAGGGCUCACUGGUGACUGUCAUAAGAACCUCUAAGAUGGAACAAAUGAUUACUCAAGUAACAAAGUCACACAAAAAGAUUCUGCCGCCUCUCUGGCCACUUAUCCCCUGCAUUAGCAACAGCACCUGUGCUAAAGGCAGGCCCAGAUAAUAAAGCAGCCAGGACUGAAGACCUCAACAAGAGGAACAGCGCAUCUGGGGCCAGCUGGCAUCAGGAUGUCAUUUUUUUCUCAGCCCAAACAUGAUGGUUCCCUAUCCUAAACCAAAGACCGGGAAUAUGAGUCUGGAGUAGAGGAACUGAGGCAUCAAGAAAGAGUUUAGAGAGACAUAGAUGGGACCUGCAUUUGGAGAGCAUGCUGGUUCCUCUGGUGCUGUUUGGAGGACCUAGGGAUGUCUCCUGUGGAUGGCUGAUUGUUUCCUGAGUCAACUGAAAACCAGCCGCUCAGAAAAAAAAAAAAUUUGACCUUCCCAAAAUGGCCGCUGCUCCUCCCCCUUCCACCUCCAUGAGGGUCACACAAAAUGGUGGACAGACCAUGCGGCCUCUUGUCACAAAGAAAGUCAUCAUUCAAAACUCCUAAAGUUAUUCUAGGCCUGAGUGUGUAGUUGGCACCAAAUUGAAAUAAAAACCAGAUUU